UGGGGGAAAAAACGGGUGGGCAAUACUCGCCUCCGUGUCUUUAAUAAAAUCAUGACUUUACGUUAUAAAAUAGGAAAAUCAUGCAAUUUUAUAACAAGACACGGAGGCUCGUAUUGUGCAAGUUUAAAGCGACAAAAUCACAGAAGAAAAAGCAUGCGGAGGCGGCCUGAAAUAAAACUCCCUAAACGUCGAAGCUCUAGACCAAUCUGCUAACCGUAGAACAUCCUCCAGGCGGGCUCCUGCAACGGUCAUGGAAGUAGCCGAAGCUCCCCUAACCGAAUGAGCCGUGAACACCGACGUAUCAACACCGGCCAAAGAUAGAAUCCACUUCACCCAACGGGAUAAA